rnacentral:lncRNA from 1 species
AUUUAGAGGGACUCUCUAACCUGAGUACACAUUUGAAACAUCUGAGGGCUUUGAAACAUACCUGCUCCUGGACCACCUGCUGAACCAAUUAAAUCAGAAUUUCUGUUGUGAAGAUCUCCACGUGAGUUUAAGCUUUCCUGCUCAACUGUUAGUUCCAUGAAGGCAACAGCCAUGCCUGCUUCGUUCACUGAAAUAUCUUCGUUUCCUAACACACAGAAAGUCAUCAUUUUUUGACGGAUGAAAGAAUGGAUGAAUGCCUAGUCUUGGAGACAUCUACUUGCAAUAAAGGUGAAGAAACAGAGGCAAAGGGAGCAUAAGCAAUUUUCCAAAGGCCAUACAACAUGUAAGUGGCUGAGCCAAGACUGAAAUCACCAGGUUCUUAACCACUAGGCCAUAUUGCAUUGGAGUGUUGCCUCCUGGAGUAAGACUAGGCUAAAAGCUUCAUAGAAACCUAAAGGAGUUAGAGAAGGAAGAUCUCUCAAUGGAAAUGCUAAGAAGAGACACAAGGAAAGACACAUCACUAAGGAGAGACCCAAGGAAAAUGGCUCUAUGACUACAGUCCAUUUAAAGAAUGAGGGCGUUCCUUCUACCAAGGUGGAGAUGUGUUUACCUGCUGGAUACCAAUGCUUCUAGCAUCAGGGAGAAGUUGAGCCCUGGAGGAAACAUUGCCUCUAAGUUUGUGUUCUGAUGGAGAUGAUGACUACUUCACAGGCACUUUGCAAGGUCUGAUGACAUUGACAAUACAUUGGACAAAGAGCAAAGGAAGAGGAGUCUGCAAAACAACAACAACAACAACAGAAAAAAACAAAAUAAAACAAAGGGUCAUCGGAAGAGUAACAGGAGAAAGAAGAGUUAAUGUGUGGUGGAAUCCUUGGGAAAGCAUGAGUCAAGAAGUAUAGUAUACACAAUUCAGAUAACCAAGGGGUUACUUCCAAAAGGAUGAAUGUAUUUGUAGGCAAGGCGCAUGGAAAUAAGGUAUAGCUUGCAUAAAAAUCCAGAGUUUUGGUAAUAAAAUCUUUCUGCUGAGUUUUAA